rnacentral:rRNA from 1 species
UACAGAGGGGGCAAGCGUUGUUCGGAAUUACUGGGCGUAAAGGGCGCGUAGGCGGCCUUCUAAGUCAGACGUGAAAUCCCCGGGCUCAACCCGGGAACUGCGUCUGAGACUGGAAGGCUCGAAUCCGGGAGAGGGAUGCGGAAUUCCAGGUGUAGCGGUGAAAUGCGUAGAUAUCAGGAAGAACACCAAUGGCGAAAGCAGCUCUCUGGGACGGUACUGACGCUGAGACGCGAAAGCGUGGGGAGCGAACAGG